rnacentral:rRNA from 1 species
GACGAACCGUGCGAACGUUGUUCGGAAUCACUGGGCUUAAAGGGCGCGUAGGCGGGCCCUCAAGUCCGGGGUGAAAUCCGUCCCGCCUAACGGGAGAAGAGCCUCGGAGACUGAGGGCCCUCGAGGGGGGUAGGGGCGUGCGGAACUAUGGGUGGAGCGGUGAAAUGCAUUGAUAUCCAUAGGAACUCCGGUGGCGAAGGCGGCACGCUGGACCCCUUCGACGCUGAGGCACGGAA